rnacentral:rRNA from 1 species
AGCGAACGCUGGCGGCAGGCCUAACACAUGCAAGUCGAACGAAGCCUUCGGGCUUAGUGGCGGACGGGUGAGUAACACGUGGGAACGUACCUUUUGGUUCGGAACAACUCAGGGAAACUUGAGCUAAUACCGGAUGAGCCCUUUGGGGGAAAGAUUUAUCGCCAUUAGAGCGGCCCGCGUUAGAUUAGCUAGUUGGUGAGGUAAAGGCUCACCAAGGCUACGAUCUAUAGCUGGUCUGAGAGGAUGAUCUGCCACACUGGGACUGAGACACGGCCCAGACUCCUACGGGAGGCAGCAGUGGGGAAUCUUGCGCAAUGGGCGAAAGCCUGACGCAGCCAUGCCGCGUGAAUGAUGAAGGUCUUAGGAUUGUAAAAUUCUUUUACCAGGGACGAUAAUGACGGUACCUGGAGAAAAAGCCCCGGCUAACUUCGUGCCAGCAGCCGCCGUAACAC